UAUUCUUUCAUGUGCUGUAGAUAGGCCCUUCAACCUCGGAAACCUCACCAUGGACUGGGAGCGAAGGAAGUGGGAUCUGAUGGUUGGCAUUGUAGGUGGCAAGCUGCAAAAGAAAGAUGACGUUUUCAAAGUUGAAGGGCCUUUCUAGAGCACUGGAAUCCAU
rnacentral:pre_miRNA from 1 species